GUGGAUUAGAUACCCUGGUAGUCCACACUGUAAACGAUGAUUGCUAGGUGUGGGGGGUCUGACCCCUUCCGUGCCGCAGCUAACGCAAUAAGCAAUCCACCUGGGGAGUACGGCCGCAAGGUUGAAACUCAAAGGAAUUGACGGGGGCCCGCACAAGCAGUGGAUUAUGUGGUUUAAUUCGAAGCAACGCGAAGAACCUUACCAGGUCUUGACAUCCAACUAACGAAGCAGAGAUGCAUCAGGUGCCCUUCGGGGAAAGUUGAGACAGGUGGUGCAUGGCUGUCGCCAACU
rnacentral:rRNA from 1 species